rnacentral:tRNA from 1 species
GGCUCGACAGGUCGUGGACGACGAGACCGAUGAGGCCGGUGCGGCUGGAGCGCAGGCUCCGGGCGCCGACGUGCGGGACGUAGCCGAGCCG